AAUUUCGAAAACUUUAAUAAUUAAAUUAUAUUUUUUUAAUUCAAGUGAUCAAGAUAAAAAUUCAUCCACUAUUUAGGGACUAAUGAUAUAUUUAAGGCUUCAACAUGGGCCCGCCACUUCCUUUUUAUAAUUAUUUUUCCCUUUUUUUCAGCCCUUUCCUUUUCUACUGUCUUCGUUCUUUUCUUUCUCUACUUGUCCUUCCCUUCACAACCCUACCACCAUGAGCCACCGCCGUCCAUGGCUUUCUCCGGCUGGUCCCUACCAUUAACACAAAACCGAAGAUCUUUUCACCCUCUCCUCAUUUAAGGCUUAGAUAUUUUAAAAUGGCCUAAAACCCUUCCUAAUCUACCCUUCAGAUCACGAUCGAUCUGCAAAUCCCGCCGUUCAACCGCCUCGAUUUUCCAGUAUGUUAUUCUCCGCACUGGAGCUCCGAACCCGAAAGAUUAGUGGCGUUUCUUUUUAUUUUUUGGCUUCUUUUACUAUUUUUUGAAUACCGACUUUUCUCUGUUUGGAGGCGCGGUUCGGAUGAAGCUUUUCCUUCUUUUCGGUUUUGCAGGCUUCGAUUCAGGGUGCUUAUAACGGAGCAUUGGCGUGGGACUUUGGUGAAGCUGGUGUGUGCAGUAGGGUGGUUGAUGGGAUUUGUCGGCAGAGGUUAUGGUGGUGGCAGUAAUCGGUUGAUGAGGUGGUGACUAUGUGAGGGACCGAAAUGCAUAAUUUGUGAAAGUCAAAGGGCUUUUUAUAUAUACAUACCAUUGGGUUAAAGCCCAAAACUUUUAAAACAUGACUCAAUUUAAAUUAAUGCAAUAAAAAUUCUUCUAAUCUAAAUAAUUAGUAGAUUGGAUAAAA